CCACUGAUCAUCCUUCAGAUGUUUCUACAGCUUAACUGGAGUCCAUCUGAGGUAAACUCAGUUAAAUGGACAAGAAUUGGAAAGGCACAAACCUGUCUACACAUCAGGU